rnacentral:rRNA from 1 species
AGCAGCCGCGGUAAUUCCAACUCCAAUAACGUAUAUUAAAGUUGCUGCAGUUAAAAAGCUCGUAGUUGAAUUUCGGGACCAUCAUGUCGGUCGUGCCUCGGUACGUACUGGCAUUGUUGGUUUCUCCCUUCUGACGAACCAUGAUGUCAUUAAUUUGGUGUCAUGGGGAAUCAGGACUGUUACUUUGAAAAAAUUAGAGUGUUUAAAGCAGGCUCACGCUUGAAUACAUUAGCAUGGAAUAAUGAAAUAGGACGUUUGAUUCUAUUUUGUUGGUUUCUAGGAUCGACGUAAUGAUUAAUAGGGAUAGUUGGGGGCAUUAGUAUUCAAUUGUCAGAGGUGAAAUUCUUGGAUUUAUUGAAGACUAACUACUGCGAAAGCAUUUGCCAAGGAUGUUUUCAUUAAUCAAGAACGAAAGUUAGGGGAUCGAAGACGAUCAGAUACCGUCGUAGUCUUAACCAUAAACUAUGCCGACUAGGGAUCGGAUGAUGUUAAUUUUUAAUGACUCAUUCGGCGUCCG